AUUGAACGCUGGCGGCAUGCCUUACACAUGCAAGUCGAACGGCAGCACGGGAGCUUGCUCCUGGUGGCGAGUGGCGAACGGGUGAGUAAUACAUCGGAACGUACCCAGGAGUGGGGGAUAACGUAGCGAAAGUUACGCUAAUAUCGCAUACUCUGUGAGCAGGAAAGCGGGGGAUCGCAAGACCUCGCGCUCUUGGAGCGGCCGAUGUCGGAUUAGCGAGUUGGUGAGGUAAAAGCUCACCAAGGCGACGAUCCGUAGCAGGUCUGAGAGGAUGAUCUGCCACACUGGGACUGAGACACGGCCCAGACUCCUACGGGAGGCAGCAGUGGGGAAUUUUGGACAAUGGGGGCAACCCUGAUCCAGCCAUGCCGCGUGAGUGAAGAAGGCCUUCGGGUUGUAAAGCUCUUUCGGCGGGGAAGAAAUGGCAACGGCUAAUAUCCGUUGUUGAUGACGGUACCCGCAUAAGAAGCACCGGCUAACUACGUGCCAGCCGCCGCCGUAAUAC
rnacentral:rRNA from 1 species